AUUGAACGCUGGCGGCAUGCUUUACACAUGCAAGUCGAACGAGUGGCGCACGGGUGAGUAAUACAUCGGAACAUGUCCUAUCGUGGGGGAUAUCUGAACGAAAGAUCAGCUAAUACCGCAUACGAUUGCAGAGGCCGCUGCCCGAUUAGCUAGUUGGGGGGGUAAAGGCGCACCAAGGCGACGAGCGGUAGCUGGUCUGGGAGGAGGACCAGCCACACUGCGACUGAGACACGGCCCAGACUCCUACGGGAGGCAGCAGUGGGGAAUUUUGGACAAUGGGGGCAACCCUGAUCCAGCCAUGCCGCGUGCAGGAUGAAGGUCUUCGGGUUGUAAACUGCUUUUGUCAGGGAAGCGGUACCUGAAGAAUAAGCACCGGCUAACUCCGUGCCAGCAGCCGCGGUAAUUC
rnacentral:rRNA from 1 species